GCUGGCGGCAUGCCUAACACAUGCAAGUCGAACGCUUUUGGGGCUUCGGCCCCAAGGGAAGUGGCGCACGGGUGAGUAGCGCGUGGGAACCUGCCCUGUUGUGGGGGAUAACCGAGGGAAACUUCGGCUAAUACCGCAUAAGCCGGUUGUCUUGAGAGAGAUGGCCGGGAAAGAUUUAUCGCGACAGGAGGGGCCCGCGUCGGAUUAGCUAGUUGGUGGGGUAACGGCCCACCAAGGCUGUGAUCCGUAGCUGGUCUGAGAGGAUGAUCAGCCACACUGGGACUGAGACACGGCCCAGACUCCUACGGGAGGCAGCAGUGGGGAAUAUUGGACAAUGGGCGCAAGCCUGAUCCAGCAAUGCCGCGUGAGUGAUGAAGGCCUUAGGGUUGUAAAGCUCUUUCGCCCGCGACGAU
rnacentral:rRNA from 1 species